GUAGUUAGCCGGGGCUUCCUCCUUGGCUACCGUCAUUUUUUCGUCACCAAGGACAGAGGUUUACAACCCGAAGGCCUUCUUCCCUCACGCGGCGUUGCUGGGUCAGGCUUUCGCCCAUUGCCCAAUAUUCCCCACUGCUGCCUCCCGUAGGAGUCUGGACCGUGUCUCAGUUCCAGUGUGGCCGAUCAGCCUCUCAGCUCGGCUACCCAUCGUCGACUUGGUGGGCCGUUACCCCGCCAACUAUCUAAUGGGACGCGAGCCCCUCCUUCUGCGGAUUGCUCCUUUGACCUCAAAAUGAUGCCAUCUCGUGGUCUUAUGCGGUAUUAGCAAUCGUUUCCGGUUGUUAUCCCCCUCAAAAGGACAGGUUGCUCACGCGUUACUCACCCGUUCGCCGGUCGUCGUCUGCAUCAGCAAGCUGACACAACGUUACCCCGCGACUUGCAUGUGUUAAGCCUGUAGCUAGCGUUCAUCCUGAGCCAGAAUCGAACCCUGA
rnacentral:rRNA from 1 species